GGUUAAGUGACUAAGCGUACACGGUGGAUGCCUUGGCAGUUGGAGGCGAUGAAGGACGUAUUAACUUGCGAUAAGCCUAGUCAAGCUAGUAAAAAGCACUUGAGACUAGGAUUUCCGAAUGGGGAAACCCACCUGCUUGCAGGUAUCGUUAACUGAAUACAUAGGUUAACGAGGCGAACGCGGAGAACUGAAACAUCUAAGUACCCGUAGGAAAAGAAAUCAACCGAGAUUCCGAAAGUAGCGGCGAGCGAAAUCGGAACAGCCCUUAAGCUUAUUAUGUGUUAAUGGAAGGCUCUGGAAAGUGCCACGAUACAGGGUGAUAGUCCCGUACAUGAAAAGACAUUUUAAGUGAAAUCGAGUAGGUCGGAGCACGUGAAACUUUGACUGAAUAUAGGUGGACCAUCAUCUAAGGCUAAAUACUCCCAACUGACCGAUAGUGAACCAGUACCGUGAGGGAAAGGCGAAAAGAACCCCUGUGAGGGGAGUGAAAUAGAACCUGAAACCGUGUACGUACAAGCAGUAGGAGCAGACUUGUUCUGUGACUGCGUACCUUUUGUAUAAUGGGUCAGCGACUUAUAUUUUGUAGCGAGGUUAACCGAUUAGGGUAGCCGUAGGGAAACCGAGUCUUAACUGGGCGAAUAGUUGCAAGGUAUAGACCCGAAACCCGGUGAUCUAGCCAUGGGCAGGUUGAAGGUUGAGUAACAUCAACUGGAGGACCGAACCCACUAACGUUGAAAAGUUAGGGGAUGACCUGUGGCUAGGAGUGAAAGGCUAAUCAAACCGGGAGAUAGCUGGUUCUCCCCGAAAUCUAUUUAGGUAGAGCCUCGGACGAAUACUUACGGGGGUAGAGCACUGUUAAGGCUAGGGGGUCAUCCCGACUUACCAACCCUUUGCAAACUCCGAAUACCGUAAAGUAAUAUCCGGGAGACACACGGCGGGUGCUAACGUCCGUCGUGAAGAGGGAAACAACCCAGACCGCCAGCUAAGGUCCCAAAGUCAUAGUUAAGUGGGAAACGAUGUGGAAAGGCCCAGACAGCCAGGAGGUUGGCUUAGAAGCAGCCAUCCUUUAAAGAAAGCGUAAUAGCUCACUGGUCGAGUCGGUCUGCGCGGAAGAUGUAACGGGGCUAAACUAUGCACCGAAGCUGCGGAUUCAUACUUUGUAUGAGUGGUAGGGGAGCGUUCUGUAAGCGGUUGAAGGUGUACCGGGAGGUAUGCUGGACGUAUCAGAAGUGCGAAUGCUGACAUGAGUAACGAUAAUGCGGGUGAAAAACCCGCACGCCGGAAGACCAAGGGUUCCUAUCCCAUGUUAAUCAGGGUAGGGUAAGUCGACCCCUAAGGCGAGGCCGAAAGGCGUAGUCGAUGGGAAACGGAUUAAUAUUUCCGUACUUGGUAUAAUUGCGAUGGGGGGACGGAGAAGGCUAAGCAAGCAUGGCGAUGGUUGUCCAUGUGAAAGUGAGUAGGGCGUUUGUUUAGGUAAAUCCGGACGAACAUUAAACCUGAGACACGAGACGAG
rnacentral:rRNA from 1 species